ACCGGCAAACGGGUGCGGAACACGUACACAACCUUCCUAUAAGUGGGGAAUAGCCCAGAGAAAUUUGGAUUAAUACCCCGUAACAUAACGAUGUGGCAUCACAUUGUUAUUAUAGCUUCGGCGCUUAUUGAUGGGUGUGCGGCUGAUUAGAUAGUUGGCGGGGUAACGGCCCACCAAGUCUACGAUCAGUAGCUGAUGUGAGAGCAUGAUCAGCCACACGGGCACUGAGACACGGGCCCGACUCCUACGGGAGGCAGCAGUAAGGAAUAUUGGUCAAUGGACGCAAGUCUGAACCAGCCAUGCCGCGUGAAGGAUUAAAGUCCUCUGGAUUGUAAACUUCUUUUAUCUGGGACGAAAAAAGGCUUUUCUAAGUCACUUGACGGUACCAGAUGAAUAAGCACCGGCUAACUCCGUGCCAGCAGCCGCGGUAAUACGGAGGGUGCAAGCGUUAUCCGGAUUCACUGGGUUUAAAGGGUGCGUAGGCGGGCAGGUAAGUCAGUGGUGAAAUCCUGGAGCUUAACUCCAGAACUGCCAUUGAUACUAUCUGUCUUGAAUAUUGUGGAGGUAAGCGGAAUAUGUCAUGUAGCGGUGAAAUGCUUAGAUAUGACAUAGAACACCUAUUGCGAAGGCAGCUUACUACGCAUAUAUUGACGCUGAGGCACGAAAGCGUGGGGAUCAAACAGGAUUAGAUACCCUGGUAGUCCACGCCCUAAACGAUGGAUACUCGACAUACGCG
rnacentral:rRNA from 1 species